rnacentral:lncRNA from 1 species
CAUGAGGACAAAAGGAGGCAUACGAUCUUACCUCACUGAUUAAUCUGAUAUAGUCUAAGAAAAGACUUGUCUUACGGUGGGUCAAUCGAUUUGGGCAAGAAGAUUAGAUUUGGACCAAUUCCAUACCUGUUAUGGCUAGUGUGUCUCUUCCGGCAGUGGUUAUAACAGGAACGAGGAGGGGGCCGUAGAAGACAACUAACCAACCCAAGGUACGAUUCUUGCCGGCUCAGACACAGCCUUCUCUUUGUUUUGCGGCCUUGCAUCCAUCUUCCAUCCUUUCAACUCACUUUUCCCGUUGUAGUCCUUCCCAUCAUUACUCAACUUUAAAAAGCUCCGAUAAAUGUCAACGUUAGAUCUCUCUCUCUCUCUCUCUCUCUCUCUCUCUCUCUAACUUGUGGUCUUCAAAUACCAUUCUUCUUUGCCAUGCUUUGAUUGCUCUCCUUCGGGUUUAUUUUUUGGUCGUCGCAUCGGUUCUGGGAAAUUGCUCGGCACUGGUUGCCUUCUUUCGUUGGUGGCUGAAUCAGAGUCGGAGAACAGAAGCCAAACCUGGAUCCUUUUCCUUUUGAUGUCCACAUCUUUUGUUUACCUGUUUGUGGUAGUAUAAGUUCGCGCAUGACUUGGAUCCUUUUCCUUUUGAUGUCCGUAUCUUUGGUUUAGCUCUUUGUGGUAGUAUGAGUUCGCGCAUGCCAUUGUUCAAAUCUUCUGCUCGCUGUUGCUUUUCUUGCGAGUCCCGAGUGCUGCUUUCUCUGGGAACGUCGGUCUGGCUUCCAUCGACGUGAAAUUAUUGCGCUUCACGCUGUCAAAAUCUCUACGUUUCCUUGGUUGAGUCAUCGGAGAUCUUCCUUGUUGAUUUGCAUCUUUUGGUUUCUCCCUCUUCGAUUAGUUCGGCCCUGCGUUCGUUCCUGUAAAGCCUAUAUACAUCCAGCCGAAUAGUAUCGCCUUGAGUUGGUCUCGGAAUCGGCAAUGAGGAAGAGCGAUUCUCGGUUGGCUUUUCUCCUCCUCCAUCUCCUC